rnacentral:rRNA from 1 species
GAUGAACGCUGGCGGCGUGCCUAAUACAUGCCAGUCGAGCGAACAGAUGAGGAGCUUGCUCCUCUGACGUUAGCGGCGGACGGGUGAGUAACACGUGGAUAACCUACCUAUAAGAAUGGGAUAACUUCGGGAAACCGGAGCUAAUACCGGAUAAUAUAUUGAACCGCAUGGUUCAAUAGUGAAAGACGGUUUUGCUGUCACUUAUAGAUGGAUCCGCGCCGCAUUAGCUAGUUGGUAAGGUAACGGCUUACCAAGGCAACGAUGCGUAGCCGACCUGAGAGGGUGAUCGGCCACACUGGAACUGAGACACGGUCCAGACUCCUACGGGAGGCAGCAGUAGGGAAUCUUCCGCAAUGGGCGAAAGCCUGACGGAGCAACGCCGCGUGAGUGAUGAAGGUCUUCGGAUCGUAAAGCUCUGUUAUUAGGGAAGAACAAAUGUGUAAGUAACUAUGCACGUCUUGACGGUACCUAAUCAGAAAGCCACGGCUAACUACGUG